rnacentral:rRNA from 1 species
CUUGUUUAAUUAUAAGAGGUCCAGCCUGCCCAGUGAAUUAAUUUUAACGGCCGCGGUAUCCUAACCGUGCGAAGGUAGCGUAAUCACUUGUUCUUUAAAUAAGGACUAGUAUGAAUGGCAUCACGAAGGUUAUACUGUCUCCCCUUUUUAAUCAGUGAAACUAAUCUCCCCGUGAAGAAGCGGGAAUAAAAUUAUAAGACGAGAAGACCCUAUGGAGCUUUAGACUAUACAACAAUUGUUAUUCACUUAUUACACCCUCUGGGUGCUCAACUAUAUUUUUUCAUUUUGAUUGUUAGUCUUAGGUUGGGGUGACCGCGGAGUAAAAUAUAACCUCCACGAUGAAAGAAGCUUAAUUUCUUAACCUAGAGUUACAACUCUAAGUACCAAAAAUUUGACAUAAAUUGAUCCAAUCCAUUGAUCAACGAAC